GGAGCUUGUGUCCCCCGAGCCGGUUCCGGACCACCUCGCAGCGCCGCGUCCUUAGGGGCGGGCUCGGGGGGCACCACCCUCGAGGGGCGGAACCCGUGGGGGCGGUGGCGUGGAUCCGGAGGUAGCUGCUUCUUAAAUGCUGCAUUGAAAGGAUGAAACAGAACGGAUGUGAACAAGAGUUCCCUGAGAAAGGACAGCUCUUAGAGAGAUAGGAUAAUUACUGGACUCAAGAAGAUACCAAAUCAUGAACACUUGCUCUGGGGAAAGCCAGCUGCCAUAUUGUGAGCAGACCUAUGAAAAGGCCCACUUGGUGAAGAACUGAGGCCUCUGGCUGAUGGACACAUGGGUGACCUUGCAAUCAAGUCUUCUGGCCUCAACCAAGCCUUCAGCUGAGACUGCAGCCUCAUGACAGAUCCUGAGCUAGAAGCAUCCUGCCAUCCUAAUAAGCCACUCUUGAAUUUCUGACCCUUAAAAAUUGUGAGAUAAGCACCUGUGCUUUUUUUAAGUAUUAGAUUUUAAAAACCCUGAAAAAAUAAAGAAGAAAAAAGACAACUCAUAAUCUCACCACAUUAAAAAGAAUAGCUAUAGAAAAAUUCCAGUAGUAUAAAAAGGAAAAAUGGAAAUAACUCCCCACCAUCCCUGAUCUUUAGUUCUUUUUCCCAGUGACAUUUUCUUUCCCAAGAAAUGUUCAUGCAUAUGCAAUAUAUGUGUAAACCCUUUAAGAUGUUCACAAAAAGAUCAUGUUACACUCAUUCGAAAAACUUAAUAUUAUAUCUUGAAGGUGUCUUCAUAUCAGUAUACAUACAUCUAUCUUAGUUUGUUAAUAGAUUUCCCAUAAUUUAAAUGUACCAUAUUUCUUUUACCAGUCCCCAUAUAUGGACAUUUAGGAUAUUUCCAGUAUUCUUUUCUGUUAUAAAAAUAUGGUGAUAAACAUUUUCAUGCUUUUUUGAGUAUCUUCAAGUAAAGUCCUAUGGGUAGCAUUCUGGUAUCACGUUGUAUAUGCAUUUAAAGUUGAUGCUAUUCACUUGUUCCACAAUCUUUGCUCCGAGUUUACACUGAUGAAGCAUGAGAAUGCUAUAUCCCCACAAACCUGUGCAUAUUGUUGAUAGUAAGCAUUGUUUGCUAUUUUCUGACUAUUUAUUUUUCUUCUUUUGAGAAUUGCCAUGCCUAGAAGAGUGCCUGUCUUAUAAUAUAUAAGAUAAUAACUUGAUAGCUAGCAUUUCUGAGGCUUCUUGUGCCUUUAAUGUAUAUUUACUGUUUUGAUACUUACAAAGACCCUAUGAAGUAGGCACUAUUAUUAUCUGCUUAUGGCUGGUGGGAAAACUGAGCUGUAGAGAAUUUAAACAAACUGUCCCAGGUCACACAACUAGGAAGGGUGGAGCCAGGAUGCAAAUGAUAUGGAAUUUUAAAAAAUGGGUAGUUGAGUGAAUGAAUAAAUAGAUGACCUGUU